rnacentral:ncRNA from 1 species
UCCAUAGCUGGCAGAACACUUCGUAUAACCCCAUUAAUAAGGUAUGGGGGUUUCUACCAGAAUCCGUAAAAUUCUGAUUACGAAGAGUGAAGCGCAAAUG